AGUUCGCAUCUGGUUUCUGUUUGAAUUG
rnacentral:piRNA from 1 species